UGUUCCUCUUUGGAACUGGGCAGUGCUGUCUGUUGUGGGUGAUGCACUGAAACUUGUUCCUGACAGAAGGGAGUUGCUGUUUGCUCAUUCUGUUUGCAUCUCUGUUCUGAACCUGCCCCUGAAGAAUUGAAAGUUUCUCUCCAGAUCUGUGCUAGAUGCUUAUAGAGCACAAAUCCCACAGACUGAGUUCAGUGCUUUACUUUCUAAAAUAAUAAUUAAUGUCAACAAUAGCAAGGUGUCUGAUUUGGUCAGGAGUGGAUAAUUUCCCACCUUUCAGCACCCUGAAGCCCCAAAUCUUUGACAUCAGAAUACAAAUAUCCAGGAUAGCCCUGCUGAGAGGGGACAAGGAUGAUGCUCCCCUUGGAACUCUUUGUUGGUAGAUCCCCUCAAGUCAGUGUGGCAGGGCUGUGUCCCUCCUGGAAGUGUUUUGGGAUACCCUGAGCAGAGAGCACACUGCUGUGACCCCGUGGUGCACCCUGACCACCAGACACCUCAGACCUGAGGUUCAGCCUUCUUUCCCUGCAGAAAUGAUGUUUUGGGUAAGUAGCUCCAGAUUCUUCACUAGAGCUGGCAGGAAGUAAAGGAGUAUGGCAGUUGCAGAGCUUUGGGGCAAUGCAGGAAAUGAGUAAUUAGGAAAUUAGC